rnacentral:piRNA from 1 species
UGGGAUUAAACUCAUGGACCACCAUGCAUGG